GUUCUAGUCGCCUUGCGUCAUGUAAUUAUUGGAAAUUCAUCCUUCUCAAUAAAAUGUGUGGAAACUUUUACGAAAACAGUUGAAAAAGCGAGGACGGCAAGGAGAUAUGGUCUCAACAUCUUGAAAUCUCUGGUGGAACUAAACCAAGAAGGAGCAGUCAAGUCAAGUGAAUCAAAAUGAUAUUUUCUGAUUAAUUUUUUAAGAUUUCAAAACUCCCGCACUUAAUUCGUUGGUUCUGCUCUUUUUUCACAAUUAAUUUCCGCAAUUUUCACGCCUGCACACAAAAGAAGCGACCAUAAUCAUGGCCAUAAAAGGGCAAACCGCAAAGCCAACGCGUUUGUUUGUUGCACAAUGCCCCUUAAUGAACAACGGAAAUUGCUGGCCACUAAAGUGCAGUCCCACUAAAAUCGUAUAAAAAUAAAUCAAACGAAUAGCCA
rnacentral:lncRNA from 1 species